GCAGCGCGGUCGCCCGGACGCUCGUAAACUUCACCUGUAUUCGUACCGUGAUCGAAAUAAAAUUUGACAUAAAAACAAACAAAAAAGAGAUUCAUAUUUUUAUAUGAAAAUCUGAACUCGCAUUUACAAAGUCGGCCACCCGUCUUUAACAACUACAGUCUCGGCUGUCUUCAACUCUUCACCGUCAUUAUAUUAUCAUUAUACAUUACCGAAAGCCUUUCAAUAGAAACAUACCUCUACAAUAAAUUACUAAACUACGCGCUAGUGAUGGGGCUUCACAAUCUUCCGUCGGUCACAAUAUAAAGAGACAAUACAGUUAUCCCGUUACUUAUAAAAGUCUACAAUGUUCAGUCCUUGUCUAUUAGGCGACUUUUAUAACGCAUCAGACAGACAAAACUAUAACAUCUGUGUGUAGAUCUUAAGAAAGUGAUCAGAAGAUUGCAAAACACGCCGAUUAAAGUGCAAUUUAUUU